CCGUGAAGUUCUUGCUUAUAUGAUCACCAGGUCAUUGAAAACCACGACCAAUUCAAACCCAAACAACCCAUCUUCCAUCUCUCAAGAUUCCAAGAGAAAAUCCUCUAAAAAGCUAUCAAAUGCCUCCUCGUCCUCCACCACCGCUACCAUCAACCAUAAGUCUCCUAUCUUUGAUUGUGACUGUUUUGAUUGCUAUACCAGCUAUUGGUUCAGGUGGGAUUCUUCUCCUAACCGUGAACUCCUCCAUCAAGUUAUUGAAGCCUUUGACGAACAUUUAACCAACGGCGAACAAUCCAGGAAAAGCUACCGAGGUAAGAGACGAGACAAAGCAGGUCGUCAGAUUGGUGAGAAGCCGGUUAUUGAUGUUCUGGGUCGUCCCGAAAUGCCGGAGUUGGAGACUCCACCAGAAACCGAUGAAUCCUCUAUUGUUUCUCCCGAUGAUGACUUCUCACCAGUUGCUACUCCGGAGAGAGCGGCUGAUGGGGAAGAAUGGAAGGAGAAGGGUGCAAAGAAAAAUGAAGAGAUAACUGAGUUGGUGCCGGCGGAGACGAAAGAGAUGGCGGUGGUUGCAAGGACAUCACCGGCGGCAGUAAGCAACCACAAGGGUUUGGCAAGGAAGGUAUUGCCGGACGUGUUAGGAUUAUUAAAUUCUCGUUUAUGGAGUCUUUGGGGUCCGAGUGUGUAGAAUGCC
rnacentral:misc_RNA from 1 species